UGUGGAGACACCAAAGCGAGAGUACAGGUAUUCGUUGAGAACAAGAGUACUGAGCGUGACCACUUCGAGCAGUCAUAAGGAAGUCUACCUUCUCAUCGAUGACUAGCUCAAUGCUGUAGUUGUGUGUCUAGUUCUUUGACCUAAGGUGCAUUGACAGUUCACCUUGAGUGUGUUAUAGUUUGACUACACCAUAACUUGGUCUCCUAGCCAUUCGAAAUCCUGAGGUAUAUGUUGGCUGUGGCAUAUUCAUUGUAGAAACUAGGUCGCACCAAGAUGGGAUCUAUCAACCUCGAUAGAUGAGAGAAGUAGUCCUAUGAUAAUUGAAAGAUCGAAUCCUUAAGCCCAUGGCCAUGGC
rnacentral:lncRNA from 1 species